GGGUUGUGAGGUUAAGCGACUAAGCGUACACGGUGGAUGCCCUGGCAGUCAGAGGCGAUGAAGGACGUGCUAAUCUGCGAUAAGCGCCGGUAAGGUGAUAUGAACCGUUAUAACCGGCGAUUUCCGAAUGGGGAAACCCAGUGUGAUUCGUCACACUAUCAUUAACUGAAUCCAUAGGUUAAUGAGGCGAACCGGGGGAACUGAAACAUCUAAGUACCCCGAGGAAAAGAAAUCAACCGAGAUUCCCCCAGUAGCGGCGAGCGAACGGGGAGGAGCCCAGAGCCUGAAUCAGCAUGUGUGUUAGUGGAAGCGUCUGGAAAGGCGCGCGAUACAGGGUGACAGCCCCGUACACAAAAGCGCAUGUGCUGUGAGCUCGAUGAGUAGGGCGGGACACGUGGUAUCCUGUCUGAAUAUGGGGGGACCAUCCUCCAAGGCUAAAUACUCCUGACUGACCGAUAGUGAACCAGUACCGUGAGGGAAAGGCGAAAAGAACCCCGGCGAGGGGAGUGAAAAAGAACCUGAAACCGUGUACGUACAAGCAGUGGGAGCACAGGUUUACCUGUGUGACUGCGUACCUUUUGUAUAAUGGGUCAGCGACUUAUAUUCUGUAGCAAGGUUAACCGUAUAGGGGAGCCGGAGGGAAACCGAGUCUUAAUUGGGCGUUAAGUUGCAGGGUAUAGACCCGAAACCCGGUGAUCUAGCCAUGGGCAGGUUGAAGGUUGGGUAACACUAACUGGAGGACCGAACCGACUAAUGUUGAAAAAUUAGCGGAUGACCUGUGGCUGGGGGUGAAAGGCCAAUCAAACCGGGAGAUAGCUGGUUCUCCCCGAAAGCUAUUUAGGUAGCGCCUCGUGAAUUCAUCUCCGGGGGUAGAGCACUGUUUCGGCUAGGGGGCCAUCCCGGCUUACCAACCCGAUGCAAACUGCGAAUACCGGAGAAUGUUAUCACGGGAGACACACGGCGGGUGCUAACGUCCGUCGUGAAGAGGGAAACAACCCAGACCGCCAGCUAAGGUCCCAAAGUCAUGGUUAAGUGGGAAACGAUGUGGGAAGGCCCAGACAGCCAGGAUGUUGGCUUAGAAGCAGCCAUCAUUUAAAGAAAGCGUAAUAGCUCACUGGUCGAGUCGGCCUGCGCGGAAGAUGUAACGGGGCUAAACCAUGCACCGAAGCUGCGGCAGCGAACGUAUCACCCAAGACAACUUUACGGAGUUGACGAUUGACGGAGCGAAGCGACGUCAAAGCGUUCAUUAAAGUCGAGUUGGCUUAGGGAUACGUUCGUUGGGUAGGGGAGCGUUCUGUAAGCCUGUGAAGGUGUGUCGUGAGGCAUGCUGGAGGUAUCAGAAGUGCGAAUGCUGACAUAAGUAACGAUAAAGCGGGUGAAAAGCCCGCUCGCCGGAAGACCAAGGGUUCCUGUCCAACGUUAAUCGGGGCAGGGUGAGUCGACCCCUAAGGCGAGGCCGAAAGGCGUAGUCGAUGGGAAACGGGUUAAUAUUCCCGUACUUGGUGUUACUGCGAAGGGGGGACGGAGAAGGCUAUGUUGGCCGGGCGACGGUUGUCCCGGUUUAAGCGUGUAGGUGUGUGUUCCAGGUAAAUCCGGUUCACUUUAACACUGAGGCGUGACGACGAGGCACUACGGUGCUGAAGCAACAAAUGCCCUGCUUCCAGGAAAAGCCUCUAAGCAUCAGGUAACACGAAAUCGUACCCCAAACCGACACAGGUGGUCAGGUAGAGAAUACCAAGGCGCUUGAGAGAACUCGGGUGAAGGAACUAGGCAAAAUGGUGCCGUAACUUCGGGAGAAGGCACGCUGACACGUAGGUGAAGUGAUUUACUCAUGGAGCUGAAGUCAGUCGAAGAUACCAGCUGGCUGCAACUGUUUAUUAAAAACACAGCACUGUGCAAACACGAAAGUGGACGUAUACGGUGUGACGCCUGCCCGGUGCCGGAA
rnacentral:rRNA from 1 species